GGCCAUAUCACGUUGAAACACCGGUUCUCGUACAAUCAGCGAAGUUAAGCAACGUCGAGCCUGGUCUCUACUUAGAUGGAUGACCGCUGUUGAAUACAAGGUGCUGUAAG